AGUGAACGCUGGCGGUAUGCCUAACACAUGCAAGUCGAACGGCAGCACAGUAAGAGCUUGCUCGUACGGGUUGCGAGUGGCGGACGGGUGAGGAAUACAUCGGAAUCUACUUUUUUGUGGGGGAUAACGUAGGGAAACUUAUGCUACUAACGCAUACGACCUACGGGUGAAAGAAGUGGAUCCUCGGACCUUGCGCGAUUGAAUGAGCCGAUGUCGGAUUAGCUAGUUGGCGGGGUAAAGGCCCACCAAGGCGACGAUCCGUAGCUGGUCUGAGAGGAUGAUCAGCCACACUGGAACUGAGACACGGUCCAGACUCCUACGGGAGGCAGCAGUGGGGAAUAUUGGACAAUGGGCGCAAGCCUGAUCCAGCCAUACCGCGUGGGUGAAGAAGGCCUUCGGGUUGUAAAGCCCUUUUGUUGGGAAAGAAAAGCAUCAGGUUAAUACCCCGCUGUUCUGACGGUACCCAAAGAAUAAGCACCGGCUAACUUCGUG
rnacentral:rRNA from 1 species